AAGUCGUAACAAGGUAACCGUAGGUGAACCUGCGGUUGGAUCAUUAAUGAAAUAGGGUGUGGGGGAAAGAGGAGUGGUGGGGGAAGGGUGUGUGGGGAAAGUGGGCUGCCGUCGAGGUAGUAAGCUGCCGUCAGGGCAGUGAGUAGACGAGGGUGACGUACACUUAUUUGAGUGACGUCCCUUUCAUCGAGUGGCGUCCACUUAUUUGAGUGGACUCCCCUCCUCUGCUACCACUUAUCCCCCUCUCCUCCCUCUCUGCUUCUUCCCCAUCUCAUCACCCUCUGGAUUUAUCCAGUCAACCCCUGUCAAACGGAUCGAUCAAGUGGGGGAGCUUUUUACUACUGUUCCCCCCUUACUUUUAUAAAACCCCUUGAAAAAACACUGAAUCAGAGACAAUGAGAAACAACUUUUGACAACGGAUCUCUUGGCUCUC
rnacentral:misc_RNA from 1 species